rnacentral:rRNA from 1 species
CCGGAUUUAUUGGGCGUAAAGCGAGCGCAGGCGGUUUCUUAAGUCUGAUGUGAAAGCCCCCGGCUCAACCGGGGAGGGUCAUUGGAAACUGGGAAACUUGAGUGCAGAAGAGGAGAGUGGAAUUCCAUGUGUAGCGGUGAAAUGCGUAGAUAUAUGGAGGAACACCAGUGGCGAAGGCGGCUCUCUGGUCUGUAACUGACGCUGAGGCUCGAAAGCGUGGGGAGCAAACAGGAUUAGAUACCCUGGUAGUCCACGCCGUAAACGAUGUCUACUUGGAGGUUGUGCCCUUGAGGCGUGGCUUCCGGAGCUAACGCGUUAAGUAGACCGCCUGGGGAGUACGGCCGCAAGGUUAAAACUCAAAUGAAUUGACGGGGGCCCGCACAAGCGGUGGAGCAUGUGGUUUAAUUCGAUGCAACGCGAAGAACCCUACCUGGGCUUGACAUCCACAGAACCUUCCAUAGAUGGAUUGGUGCCUUCGGGACCUGUGAGACAGGUGCUGCAUGGCUGUCGUCAGCUCGUGUUGUGAAAU